CCGGUUUUGAGGCCUCCUCCGCUGCUCCAAACCCAUGGCAGUUGCUUCGAGGCGUCUCAAGCGAGCCUGGACGGCCCUGGAAGCCAACUGAGCCCGGUGGGGUCUGUUAUGGGGUCGUUUGAAAGUUUUGCUCUUUUCAGGAUCUACGCUUGCAAGAUUUCCUGCUUCUCCAGCACUUCCUCUCGGUCAACGAUACCCGCUUCGCGAUAAUCAUCACCCAACCGGUUACCUUUUGUCGUUCGGUCGUUUUACGACUUAACCACACCACAGACGAACGCGUACCAAUAGAAAUUCUUUUAGCCAACUUGAAUAUAUUCCGAAUAGGUAUGACCACGCGGUUAAAAGGCGUUGGCCGCAUGUACUGCAUAUACAUGCAUAUACUGCACUGGCGACAACCAGAUUGCUGCACAGAAAUCAGUUCAAUGAUAACAUCAUAAUACAAGUUGAAUAUAACAGUUACCCAGAAAUAAACCAGCUGCUAUUAUAUUCAUCUUGUAGGAUCAUGACGUAUCAUUUCCUACCCCACGCAUUCAUAUAUACUUGUUACCACCCUUACCAAUAAUCCUAAGCAUUUCCGUCAUUGUCGCUAUACGGGGACGAGGUGUUGCCUCUGCAGCACGUUAUCAGUGUAAUUGGUUGCAAUGAAAGAAGAGCAAGUCGUCGAGGCUGAAAGUCUAUUCAGUUCGAGUACGGAGGAAAGCUGCAAGUCUGAGGCCUAUGAUAGUUACUUUAGCUGUGAAGAGAUUCGACAUUGGAACAACCGUUACCAUCGUUCAACGGUUGUGCAGAAGGUCGAGCUUCGUACCAGCCGUUGUGGGCUUGUUUUAUUGCUGGACGGCGGGUGUCGCGACGGCUGUGGCGAUGGCGGCGGC